CGGUUUGACACAUUUCUCUGAUCAUGUGAUUUCAGAAUUGUGCAAGUUGCUGGGUGUGGCCUUUGUAGACUGAGCAUGCUCAGAGCAGCUUUAGCUCCAGGCAGUAAAAGAUAACGGCAAGCUACCGCUUCCUGCUGCUACUCUACCUUCGUCUACUCUACCUUCGUCUUACUGCCGUUUAUCCACAAGCUGUGCUGCGCUUUGGUCACGCUACCUGUGAGAGAGCUAAGACAAGAUAUAAAAGAAACACAUUAACAGGACAACGGAAGGCUUCAAUCCAAGGAGGAAUGUCCCGUCACACGGUUAAAAAAUAAUCAUAAAAAGAAAUCAGGCCCUCGGCCACAGCACCAGAGGACACUAAAUAGCAAACAACAGAAUUACCCAGAGGCAGGCAAGGGUCAAGUCCAAGUACACCAUCCAGCUGAGCAGAUCAUUAACAGAAAAAGCCAAACAAGAGACAGAGUCGUCCUGACCCCACAUUGUGUUGCUUAGCAGCAGAAGAUAAAACUUUGAUGAAGGCCUGCAAUCCAAACCAAAAGCUCGGAAUUCAAACUGCUCCGCAGACUCUGCAGAGGACACCUUUAACUUGGGGGGAGAAACUUUGAAACAAGUCCAGAAGAGAAGACCGAGCAAAGAACUGCAGCCGCAACAUCUUGUCAACAGAUUGUGAAAAAGUGGUUAAGCAUUUUUGCCGUAAUGAAGGACGAUAACAGGACAAUAGCAGGAGCGGUUAUCGGAGGAGUAGUUGGACUCUCGCUCUCUCCACACGAGUUCAGUUUGGGACUGAGUCCACUUGCUGUUGUAGUUGUUGUCUUUUUUCUUGCUCUUCUGGGUGCCCUUUUCAGUGCUCUUUUUGUUUUCAUUGCAACGAUAGGCUUUACUCCGGUGUUCAUUUUCUUCGGUCUUGGAUUUGCUCUUCUGGGUGCUCUCUCUGGUGUUCUGUUAGGUGCUUUUGCAGUUUUAGUCGACGGUGCCGAUGCUGUGUGUGUUUUUGCGGGUGCAGCAGCUCUUGUGUUUCUAGGAGCUUCUCUUGUAGGUGCGGGGGCUCCUGUGCGUGCUCUUGCAGGAGCUGUUUUUGGAGCCCUUGCACACACGGCGGCUGCUCUAGGUGGCGCCACUGUUAUAAAAGCAGCAGCUCUUCUGGGUGCUCUUGCAGGGGCUCUGUUCCCCCUUGCGUGUGUGCUCAGGAAACCCCGCCAUGCCGAUUCUAGCGUCACUAUAUUAACAUUAUUAAUUGACAAGAUGCUUCCGUUCGCUCUUUCAGGGGCUGUUAUAGGGGCUGCUUUAGGUUUUCUUGCAGGUGUAAUCACCUUCGUCGGUGCCUCUGGAGUUGCUUUCUCUCUUGCGGGUGCUGUUGUAGGUGCUGUUGUAGUGCUCAUGAGCAAGGGUGGAGUGGGACACUAGAUACUACCGGCAGUGCUGUAGACUAGUUAGCUAGAUAGUAGUGGGUAUAAUGUGAUCAACCCCAAAUGUUAAUACGUAUCCUUGCCUAUUUUAAGUGGGUAUACUGAGAUGGUGAUGCUUUUUAAGUGGGUAUACUGAGAUGGUGAUGCUUUUUAAGUGGGUAUACUGCGUAGUCCUGCGUAUCACGUAGACUACAACACUGACCCCCUGGACAUUCCCAUACACAUUCGUUAUUUGUCCACACAUUAUGUGAAUGAGGGUACACAGGAAUAAAGGUGGAAAUAGUUUUUGCUUUAUUUGUUGCGACACAGACAACCAAUCACAACAAGCUGAGUUGUACAUUAUAUAGGUUGGAGUAUGAAUGUGGAGCUCUAUAUGUAUAUAAGUGAAACUAAUUGAGUUGAGAUUCUUCAAAAUUCUUUCAAAAUGAUUUCAAAUGUCAAACUUUUAAAUAGUUUUAUUU